rnacentral:tRNA from 1 species
GCCGGGUUAGCUCAGCUGGUAGAGCAACCGCCUUGUAAGCGGUAGGCCGUCGGUUCGAGUCCGACACCCGGCACCA